GAUGAACGCUCGCUACAGGCUUAACACAUGCAAGUCGAGGGGCAGCAUGAUUGAAGCUUGCUUCAAUCGAUGGCGACCGGCGCACGGGUGAGUAACACGUAUCCAACCUGCCGAUAACUCGGGGAUAGCCUUUCGAAAGAAAGAUUAAUACCCGAUAGUAUAGUAUUUCCGCAUGAUUUCACUAUUAAAGAACUUCGGUUAUCGAUGGGGAUGCGUUCCAUUAGAUAGUUGGCGGGGUAACGGCCCACCAAGUCAACGAUGGAUAGGGGUUCUGAGAGGAAGGUCCCCCACAUUGGAACUGAGACACGGUCCAAACUCCUACGGGAGGCAGCAGUGAGGAAUAUUGGUCAAUGGACGAGAGUCUGAACCAGCCAAGUAGCGUGAAGGAUGACUGCCCUAUGGGUUGUAAACUUCUUUUAUACGGGAAUAAAGUGGAGUAUGCAUACUCCUUUGUAUGUACCGUAUGAAUAAGGAUCGGCUAACUCCGUG
rnacentral:rRNA from 1 species